rnacentral:rRNA from 1 species
UACGUAGGGUGCAAGCGUUGUCCGGAUUUAUUGGGCGUAAAGAGCUCGUAGGCGGCUUAGAAAGUCAGGUGUGAAACCUCCAGGCUCAACCUGGAGACGCCACUUGAUACUUCUAUGGCUUGAGUUCGGUAGGGGAACACGGAAUUCCUGGUGUAGCGGUGAAAUGCGCAGAUAUCAGGAGGAACACCAGUGGCGAAGGCGGUGCUCUGGGCCGGAACUGACGCUGAGGAGCGAAAGCGUGGGGAGCAAACAGG